AACGAUGGGAGCUUGCUCCCAGGCGUCGAGCGGCGGACGGGUGAGUAACACUUAGGAAUCUACCUAGUAGUGGGGGAUAGCUCGGGGAAACUCGAAUUAAUACCGCAUACGACCUACGGGAGAAAGGGGGCAGUUUACUGCUCUCGCUAUUAGAUGAGCCUAAGUCGGAUUAGCUAGAUGGUGGGGUAAAGGCCUACCAUGGCGACGAUCUGUAGCUGGUCUGAGAGGAUGAUCAGCCACACCGGGACUGAGACACGGCCCGGACUCCUACGGGAGGCAGCAGUGGGGAAUAUUGGACAAUGGGGGAAACCCUGAUCCAGCCAUGCCGCGUGUGUGAAGAAGGCCUUUUGGUUGUAAAGCACUUUAAGCAGUGAAGAAGACCUAACGGUUAAUACCCGUUAGCGAUGACAUUAGCUGCAGAAUAAGCACCGGCUAACUCUGUGCCAGCAGCCGCGGUAAUACAGAGGGUGCAAGCGUUAAUCGGAAUUACUGGGCGUAAAGCGAGCGUAGGUGGCUUGAUAAGUCAGAUGUGAAAUCCCCGGGCUUAACCUGGGAACUGCAUCUGAUACUGUUAAGCUAGAGUAGGUGAGAGGGAAGUAGAAUUCCAGGUGUAGCGGUGAAAUGCGUAGAGAUCUGGAGGAAUACCGAUGGCGAAUGCAGCUUCCUGGCAUCAUACUGACACUGAUGCUCGAAAGCGUGGGUAGCAAACAGGAUUAGAUACCCUGGUAGUCCACGCCGUAAACGAUGUCUACUAGUCGUUGGGUCCCUUGAGGACUUAGUGACGCAGCUACGCAUAGUAGACGCUGGGGGAGUACGGCGCAGUAAACUCAAUGAUG
rnacentral:rRNA from 1 species